AGCGAACGCUGGCGGCAGGCCUAACACAUGCAAGUCGAACGAACUCUUCGGAGUUAGUGGCGGACGGGUGAGUAACACGUGGGAACGUGCCUUUAGGUUCGGAAUAACUCAGGGAAACUUGUGCUAAUACCGAAUGUGCCCUUCGGGGGAAAGAUUUAUCGCCUUUAGAGCGGCCCGCGUCUGAUUAGCUAGUUGGUGAGGUAAAGGCUCACCAAGGCGACGAUCAGUAGCUGGUCUGAGAGGAUGAUCAGCCACAUUGGGACUGAGACACGGCCCAAACUCCUACGGGAGGCAGCAGUGGGGAAUCUUGCGCAAUGGGCGAAAGCCUGACGCAGCCAUGCCGCGUGAAUGAUGAAAGUCUUAGGAUUGUAAAAUUCUUUCACCGGGGACGAUAAUGACGGUACCCGGAGAAGAAGCCCCGGCUAACUUCGUG
rnacentral:rRNA from 1 species